rnacentral:lncRNA from 1 species
ACCGUUGGCACCCUAAUUCUAUUUUCUUUUUAUUUUAUUUUAUUUCAUUUCUUUUCCAUUUAAUUUCUCACUCAUUUUUAAUUCAAUUUGAUCCAAAUUUUUUACACAAGGUCUCUAAAAUUAUUUGCAUCACAUACAUUUUUCUCACAUUUUUUAAAAUCAUUUUUUAAUUUUUGGUUAUUUUUAUUUUAUUUUAUCUUUAAUUUUC